GCCAGAUGUGAUGUCAUGCACCUUAGUCCCAGCUAUUCUGGAGACUGAGGCGGGAGGAUCGCUUGAGCCCAGGAGCUCUGGGCUGUAGUGUGCUAUACCAAUUGUGUGUUCACACUCAAGUCAGCAUCAUUAUGGUGACUUCCUGGGAGUAAGGGACCACCAGGUUGCCUAAGGAGGGGUAAACCAGCCCAGGUCAGAAAUGGAGCAGGUCAAAACUCCUGUGCUGAUUAGUAGUGGGAUCACACCCGUGAAUAGCCACUGCACUCCAGCCUGGGCAACUUCAUGAGACCCCAUCUCUU
ensembl:misc_RNA Metazoa_SRP Metazoan signal recognition particle RNA